UUUAUCUCCCAACCCAGAAUGCAAGCUCCCUGAGAGCCGUGGCCUCGUGUGGCUUGUUCAACACUGUACUCCAAAGAUCUAAAACUGUGCCUGGCUUACCCAUCUUCAGAGGCCUUGCAAUAUUUGCUUUCCAUCCCUUUCCAAAAUGCCAACCCCACCUGCUCCAAUAAAAGCCAGGGGAUUGAUCCCAGGACCCCCACGGAUACCAACAUUUGCGAUGCUGAAGUCUUAUAUCAAAUGGAGUAGUAUUUGCACAUAGCCUAUAUUUGCGUACAGGCUACA